CAAUUAUACAAUGAUAGUGAAUACCUGGUGAAAAGUGUAGUAUUGUCUCGACAUAGGGCAAUAAAUGGAUCCCAUGUUGAUGUUUGCCAUGUUUUAAACAACUUGGAAGAAGUAGACGUAAACAGAUGCUAAUUUUUUCAGGUCAUCAUGGGCCACCUGGAUGGGGUGAUCAUACACCGCAGCCCUUGAGGAGCUCGUCUGUCAUGAGUUCGCCAUCAAGUUAACGGUCGUUCUAGUUCUGUCCUUGUCCGCCAGGUAGCAGCCGACAAUGUUAGUUUAUGCGUACUUUGUGUGCCGCUGUUUGGUCUUCUGAUGUAAAUGAAUAAUUAUAAUUUAAAAUACAACAUGUCUACCUUAAUUCGUCAUUUAAAAUGUACAUGCGUCUGUGACAUUGUAAUUGGAAGACCAUGACUAUAUAAUACUAUAAAAUU